CUUCAAUUCAUAUUCCACUUGUUGGAGUGUUUUCAUCAUUAUGACAUCAUUUGAUUCUCUCUACUAACUCAAGAAACAGGAAAGAAUACAUAAUGUUACUCCUAUUUUACAGAACUAGCUGUUUAAAUACAUGUUUGCUUUUCCCCAAUCAUAAGAACUGCUUAACACUCUAAAAGCACCAGGCCUGAGGCCAAGGUCCACUUCGUCUUGGUACAGGAAGAGCCGCAUUCCAUCUGUUCUGGCCUCGAGGAAGCUUGCACAAAUCUAUCUUCCCUUUGCGUGUCUUAUGAAACUCCAUGACCCUGUAUGAAAUCUAAUAGAGGAAUUCCAUUUCCACCGGUAGAGGAGUGUCCAUCAAUAGCUUGCUGAUCAAUGGCUCUCCCCUGAAGGAAGCAGAGAGAAACAGCCAGAUGAGAAAAUGGACAUACGGCAUAUAGGUUCUGAAAACAGUCCAAUUAUGCCACAUCUUGUGUACUUUGUUUUAAAUGAUGGUGGUGAUGAUAAGAAAAGGGGGUAAAAGGAGGUACAGAGAUAUGUUUAAGCUGAUUAUUGAAUUUAUAUUGCUUAUUCAAUGGGAAUGUUUAAGAAUCUG